rnacentral:lncRNA from 1 species
UGGAGAUGGUUUAGCCAUUAAGAGCAGCCACCAUUUUGUUGAAGACAUGACUCUGUUCCCAGCAACCAACACAAAACUGCUUGUAACUCUAGCUACAGGGGAUUCCAUACCAUCUUCUAUGUUUCUCAUAUACUGAUACUCAGGGAGCCAUUCUGCUAAAAGACCUACUUCUUCAAGGGAAAUAAUUACAUUUAACAAAAGACAACGACUAGUGCUAUUACUAUGAACAUCUUUCUACACUGGCAACUAGAAAAAUCAUGUGGCUCCUGCUUCCUAAGCUGACUUUUUAACACUGACUUCCUAACACUUACAUAGUGAAAGAUGGCCCUAAGGUUUUUUCUUCUUGCCUAACAAACUCAAGAAUGUA